AUGAAUGUUUCGCAUUGUCUUUGGACACACAAACAGGCGUAUAAAUUCUGACACUCACUGAAAGAUCUUCAGCUUCAACUAUUCCAGUCCUGGACUCGGCAGUAGCUCCAAGAAAGUUGAUAUCGUGGAUGUGGGCAAUAAUGACGGUGCCUAGGGGUGUGUUAUUACUCCUGCUUUUACAGUUUUUUACUGUAAGAACAUCAGGAACACGUGUAUCCAGCUGUGAUUCAUGUCACGAUGAAGCCGCCUGCCUCGAGUCUAAAGAAAGAGGCGACACUUUCUCAAGCCAGACGCUCUCUUGUGUCUGUAACGAUGGUUUUGUAGGUGAUGGCCUCAUGUGUUACAAUAUAAAACUCUGUAGUGACUCUUCUUGCUGUAAAGAAGGUUAUCAGUGGUCACCAGACAGGGGCUGUGUGGACACGGACGAGUGCUCUCUUACAGACUCCCCAUGCAAACCAUCUCAGGUUUGUAGAAACACUCCAGGCUCUUUCGUAUGCUUGGAGCCUUCCCCCAGCUCCAGAUCAGGUCCCUCCUCCCAGUCUGUCCAGUUCAGCUGUGGAUCCACUGUGUGUCCUUCAGGCACAGACUGUGUCAGAAUGAAUGGGACUCUCCAGUGUGCUGACCCCUGCCAGGAGUACACUGUGCUGAAUGAUGACUGGCGCUCAACAAAUAACACGUCCCCCCAGAACCUACACUGUGACAGAGAUGUUAACUGGCAAGGCUGGUAUCGGCUGUUUCUGGGGCAAACCAAUGCUAAUAUUCCAGAGAGGUGUGUGGCUGAAAGAAGGUGUGGAACCCAUGCUCCUCUAUGGAUAACAACUCCUCAUCCCACACAGUCAGGUCAGAUUGUGAACCGCACUGUGUGUAACUCAUGGUCAGGAAGCUGCUGUCGUUUCUCCUCACACACCAUCCAUGUCAAGCUCUGCUAUGGAAACUACUUCGUCUACAAACUUGUGCAGCCAAGCACAUGUUCGCUUGCAUACUGUGCAGAGGUGAACGGAGCAACUCCUGAAAAUCCUUCAACCACAGCUGAUCCAAGUACAGCGACCUCUUCUGCCAGUCAGGUCAAUAUCACCUCCACCACAACACCCGACAACAGCUCAGCAGUUGAGGGUGAGGUCCGUCUGGUUAACAGAGGGAACCAGUCCUGCUCUGGCAGAGUAGAGAUCUUCCACCGUGGACAGUGGGGGACGGUGUGUGAUGAUCAAUGGGGCCUGGCUGAUGCUCAGGUGGUGUGCAGACAGAUGGGCUGUGGCAGGGCUCUGUCAGCACCAUCAGUUGCCUAUUUUGGACAGGGCAGUGGACCCAUCUGGUUGGAUGAUGUCUCUUGCACAGGCAGUGAAUCAAAGCUUGGAGAGUGCAGGCACAAUGGGUUUGGAUCACACAACUGUGGACACAAUGAAGACGCUGGUGUCGUCUGUGAAGCUGCUGCACCAGUCAGGCUGGUCAACUCUAAUAACCGCUGCUCUGGCAGAGUGGAGGUCUACCAUGAUGGUCGGUGGGGGACAGUGUGUGACGAUGACUGGGACCUCAGGGAUGCUAACGUGGUGUGUAGACAGCUGGACUGUGGCCCUCCUCGUUCAGCAUUACUAAAUGCAGCUUUUGGUCCGGGCAGUGGACCCAUCUGGUUGGAUGAUGUUGGUUGUUCCGGCAACGAAACAUCAAUAACAGAGUGCAGACAUCCAGGGCUUGGGGUCCACAACUGUAAUCACGUUGAAGAUGCCAGUGUCGUCUGUGAAGGUCAUCCAGGAUCUAACAGUACAGUUGUACCCCCCACACCUGUUACAACACCUGGGAACAUCACCUCCACCACAACACCCGACAACAGCUCAGCAGUUGAGGGUGAGGUCCGUCUGGUUAACAGAGGGAACCAGUCCUGCUCUGGCAGAGUAGAGAUCUUCCACCGUGGACAGUGGGGGACGGUGUGUGAUGAUCAAUGGGGCCUGGCUGAUGCUCAGGUGGCGUGCAGACAGAUGGGCUGUGGCAGGGCUCUGUCAGCACCAUCAGUUGCCUAUUUUGGACAGGGCAGUGGACCCAUCUGGAUGGAUGAUGUCUCUUGUACAGGCAGCGAAUCAAAGCUUGGAGAGUGCAGGCACAAUGGGUUUGGAUCACACAACUGUGGACACAAUGAAGACGCUGGUGUCGUCUGUGAAGCUGCUGCACCAGUCAGGCUGGUCAACUCUAAUAACCGCUGCUCUGGCAGAGUGGAGGUCUACCAUGAUGGUCGGUGGGGGACAGUGUGUGACGAUGCCUGGGACCUCAGGGAUGCUAAAGUUGUAUGUAGACAGCUGGACUGUGGCCCUCCUCGUUCAGCAUUACUAAAUGCAGCUUUUGGACAGGGCAGUGGACCCAUCUGGUUGGAUGAGGUUGGUUGUUCCGGGAAUGAAACAUCAAUAACAGAGUGCAGACAUCCAGGGCUUGGGGUCCACGACUGUAGUCAUGUUGAAGAUGCCAGUGUUGUCUGUGAAGACUCUGCACUGCAUGAUUACCAGCUAAUUUGCAGCCCUGAUAAACUUCAAAUGGGGCUGGAUUUGGCUGACCUCACCUCAGGAUUGAACCCAUACUCUGGCAACUUGGCAUCUCUUAAUUGCUCCUGGGCCAGAGUACAAAAUAACAUGGUGUGGUAUGAAGUAGACGCUGUGGAAGGUGCCUGUGGAAACACUCUGACGACCAACCGCACACAUGCGAUCUACUCCAACAGUUUAUUUGUCUACCCUGUUAUCAAUGGGUCCUUUAACCUUCCUGUGAGCAUCCCCUUCUCCUGUGCAUAUCCCCUGGAAACAGACACCAGCCUGAAUGUGGCUAUCAGACCAUUCCUGCCGUCUUCAGGGGGUAUUUUAGGAUCUGGUGCCGGACCCAGUGCCGCCAUGUCUCUUUUCCGUAACGCCGCCUUCACUGAGACUUUCCCAGCUGGAGGGGUCAACCUGCCACUGGGUUCACCUUUGUACGUGGGUGUCUCUGUAACAGAAAGAGAGCUCAGAUUUGUUGUUGUUCUGGAGGAAUGCUACGCCUCUCACUCAUCCGAUCCUCACUAUUACCAGCGAUACUCUCUCAUCCAGAACAAGUGUCCGACCGAUGCCCGACAGGUGUCUGUGAUUGAGAGUGGCAUGUCUUUGCGUGCUCGUUUCUCUGCCCUGCUCUUCCUGCUGGAGGACGAUUAUAGAGCCAUUUAUCUUCACUGCAACAUAAGCCUGUGUGACCGAGAGAGAUUUCACUGUGUCCCAGUAAGUCAAACAGUUCACUUCAUCAAUGAGUUGUUCAUCCAUAAUCACUGCUGCUUAAAAAAAUGGACCGUGACGAUAUCUGCUCUUUCUGUAUCCUCUCCACCAUGAAGUCCUGUCGAAGGAGGACAUAUCGCUCUGUUUCCAGCUCUGUUGCUAUGGACCGUGUCACCAUUGGACCAAUUGCUUGGGACAAGUCAACUAAGUGAGCUGGUUACACCAAAACAUCCCAUAAUGUCAUAUCAUGAAGACGUUUCUCUUAUACACAAGACAUGAAACUAUUUUAAAAACUGGUUUAACCUUUUAUAAUCAAACUUUUCACACUCACACACAGCCUGCUCUGAUUCUUCUGUCCUUUGUAAUGAUUGUGUAACAAAUCAACAAUAACAAAGAAAUAAUAAAAUGUAUUAAAAAAAACAUGUUACCAAACUCUU